rnacentral:rRNA from 1 species
GGCCCACCUGACCCCAUGCCGAACUCAGAAGUGAAACGCCGUAGCGCCGAUGGUAGUGUGGGGUCUCCCCAUGCGAGAGUAGGGAACUGCCAGGC